AGCAGCCGCGGUAAUUCCAGCUCCAAUAGCGUAUAUUAAAGUUGUUGCAGUUAAAAAGCUCGUAGUUGAAUUUCGGGGUUAGCAAGUAGGUCGUGCCACUGGUAUGUACUGGCUUUGCUGAUUCCUCCUUCUUGUAGAACCGUAAUGCCAUUUAGUUGGUGUUGCGGGGAAACAGGACUGUUACUUUGAAAAAAUUGAGUGUUUAAAGCAGGCUAACGCCUGAAUACAUUAGCAUGGAAUAAUGAAAUAGGACGAGCGAUCCUAUUUUGUUGGUUUCUAGGAUUGACGUAAUGAUUAAUAGGGAUAGUUGGGGGCAUUAGUAUUCAAUUGUCAGAGUGAAAUUCUUGGAUUUAUGAAGACUGACUACUG
rnacentral:rRNA from 1 species